AUCUAAUUCAAUUGGACUUGAUCCAAAAAUAAUUACUCAAUCAAAUUGAGUUAAUUAGUGAUCAAAUUACUAAUUAAAUUUCUCAUAAAUAUUGAGUCCAAAUCUGAUGGGUAAUCGGGCAUCAGAAUUCAUCGAUAUGUAACCCUGAUCGAAGAGUCCCAAACCAGUGGGACUCUUGACCCCGAUACCCAAAAUAUGUGGGACUCAUGAUCAGAGAAUCUUGAUUUUCAAUCACAGAAUCCCAGACACGUAGGACUCAUAGUUUAUGAGUAUUAGGACUCUUCAUCAGCCAUCAGAUCAGAUAGAAACCUCUAAUAUGUGUGACCCCAUAGGUUCGAACCUAAGCGGGUAGCACAGGAACCAAUUCUUGUACUAAUCGAAGUGACCAUCUAGCAAUGGUACCUGACGAUC
rnacentral:lncRNA from 1 species